AAGUCAAAUAAAUCACACGUGGGAAGUCUUGCUGGUUUCCUUCCUGCGGAGAAGGUGUUCCAAAAAACAAUUUUAGCAAAGGAGAAAGGCAGAGUGGAUUGUUUCUUGGGGAACAAGGUAGGUAGGUAGGUAAGUAGGUAGGAACCAUUAAAAAUGGAACUGCUGGGUGCUGUGGGUUGGCAAAUAUAGAAGUCACAUCCCAGGCUGGUGCAGGGAAAAGCAGACUUCCCGUCCUUAAUUAGAACAGGAAAGGGAAACUUGACUUAAAGCACAAGGGACUCAUCUUAAACUCAGUUACUGAAGAGCAUCUGUCCAAUGACCUGCAUGGUAAAAUAUUCUCAGAUGUACAAUAGAGCCAAAUAUUUUUUAAAACAAUAUUUUAUUGUGUGAGCGCUGCUGCAGUUACAACUUAAGACAGACGUUAGAGUUUCCUUCCUGAGAUUUGGGCCAGAAAUUUCGUUCGUUCAUAACCCAAACAGAGCUACAGAUAUUGCCAGCAUGUACCAGGUCCCCCACAGAAGCCAAACAGCAUGAUUCUGGGUGUCCCAGAGUGCAGCCCCGACAGGGAGGGAUGCCCCACAAGUUUACAGCAAGCCAUUCACAUGCAAACCUGUUUUAUUUUCGGGCUUUAAAUGGAAGAUACUAAAAACAGGGUUCAAAGGAGGUUUCCGAGGAACACUUAAGAAGUUCAACCUUUAUUCUGAAUAGCAAUUAGGAACAAUGUAUUUAAAAACAUCUACAGUUUUUUCUUUUGUAGGCUUGCUGCAAAUGGAAUACAGCAGGCACUUUCAGAAGGGCGGAGAGGAGGGUAGGACAUCUCCAAAGCACUAUCACCCUUUGUCUUCCCAAAAUGCACCCACUCCAGAUAUAACCCACCCAUGGUAACAAAGCUGUGCGUGCUUAACUGAGAAACUGCGAGCCCUGUAGGCAACCUUGGUACUUGAAGAAAUGGGCAUAUUUUUAUAGAUUUCUACGAGGCAAAUAAUCCACACACUGCAGCAGCCUAAUUGCUAUCCACCCUUGUAUUGAGGGUGAAGGGAGGAGCAAUGAUCUUUUAUCUCAGGUUAGUUGAGUUCUCAUAGAUACGUUGGGACGCCAUUUUGUUGUGGUAAAUCUCCAACCACAAUAAACCCAUUCCAGGUAAAUGCAACUUUGUCUCGGUGAAAUUGCCAACCCCAAUAAGCCCAUGUAAGGAAAACGCAACUCGGUUGUAUAUUUAUAAACUGAACACCUAUAUUGGGAAGAUAUGUCUCUACACCACUUUCUUCCCCAGCUAUGAAAUCCCUAUUACUUGUAGUUUCUCUAGGCCACGUGCUUUUGUUCUAUCUUCCUUUCAACAACUCUCCCUCGGUCCUCCUUCCUUGAGGUCUCUAGCAACUCCUCCUCCUCCCCCCCUCCUCUUCCUGUCUUGACCGGAAAACCCGCCUCCUCAUUUUAGCCCAGCAGUUGGCUAUUUGUCAUCUUUCUUAGCCAAUCAGAUAAUUAAGGGAAGUUCCUCUACUGAUGGGUAUUACAAAGGCUCCACAAAAAUGAGGGAAACUUUCUACCCCUGAGCCACCUCUGUAAGCCUAAUCUAUUUUGGGAAGGGUUAAGAUUAUUUAGGAAGGUCCAGUAGACUCUUUUCUGUGGUAAGAGAAAACCAGAAGCUACUGCGGGCUCGCUCAGCAAAGCUGGUUUGAGUCUCAGUUUCUGGACAGUCACCUCCACUCGAGGCUUCAUAAAGUUGAAUGCAGAGUCUCACAGAUUGGCAGCAGCUCUGCUUCAUUUGAUGAACGUGGAAUAUGGCCUCUCUGCUGCUGUUUUUGACCAUGUGAUGGAUGACCUCAAAUUAAGCAUGCACAGGAGUUAACAACGCUCCCCAAGCAUGGAGCAGUCUUUCCUAUCAGAGUAGAGCCAAGGCAUGGAUGCACUCACAGAUCUGCUUACUUGUGCCUCACAACUUCAUCACGGACAGUUUCACAGUCUUUUCCAUCCACACCAGUCUAGUAGUAGAACUUUCCAAGCAAGUAGAAAUACUCUGGGAAGCCGUGCUGUAGACCUGUGAGACCAUCUUUGCAGCUUCUAGCUCUCUUCUUAAUAUCUGCAACAAAGUCAAUAAAUACUGGCUCCUUUC